rnacentral:rRNA from 1 species
CCUACGGGUGGCUGCAGUGAGGAAUAUUGGUCAAUGGUCGGGAGCCUGAACCAGCCAAGCCGCGUGAGGGAAGAAGGUACAGCGUAUCGUAAACCUCUUUUGUCAGGGAACAAAGGCGGGGACUAGUCCCCGGAUGAGGGUACCUGAAGAAAAAGCAUCGGCUAACUCCGUGCCAGCAGCCGCGGUAAUACGGAGGAUUCGAGCGUUAUCCGGAUUUAUUGGGUUUAAAGGGGACGUAGGCGGCCUAUUAAGUCAGCGGUAAAAGCAAGGGGCUAAACUCCGGCGAGCCGUUGAAACUGGCGGGCUGGAGUGGGAGAGAAGUACGCGGAAUGCGCGGUGUAGCGGUGAAAUGCUUAGAUAUCGCGCAGAACCCCGAUUGCGAAGGCAGCGUACCGGCGCCACACUGACGCUGAGGCACGAAAGCGUGGGUAUCGAACAGGAUUAGAUACCCCUGUAGUC